rnacentral:rRNA from 1 species
GAUGAACGCUGGCGGCGUGCCUAAUACAUGCAAGUCGAGCGAACAGACGAGGAGCUUGCUCCUCUGACGUUAGCGGCGGACGGGUGAGUAACACGUGGAUAACCUACCUAUAAGACUGGGAUAACUUCGGGAAACCGGAGCUAAUACCGUAUAAUAUAUUGAACCGCAUGGUUCAAUAGUGAAAGACGGUUUUGCUGUCACUUAUAGAUGGAUCCGCGCCGCAUUAGCUAGUUGGUAAGGUAACGGCUUACCAAGGCAACGAUGCGUAGCCGACCUGAGAGGGUGAUCGGCCACACUGGAACUGAGACACGGUCCAGACACCUACGGGAGGCAGCAGUAGGGAAUCUUCCGCAAUGGGCGAAAGCCUGACGGAGCAACGCCGCGUGAGUGAUGAAGGUCUUCGGAUCGUAAAACUCUGUUAUUAGGGAAGAACAAAUGUGUAAGUAACUAUGCACGUCUUGACGGUACCUAAUCAGAAAGCCACGGCUAACUACGUG